rnacentral:rRNA from 1 species
GGGGAAUAUUGCACAAUGGGGGGAACCCUGAUGCAGCGACGCCGCGUGAGUGAAGAAGUAUUUCGGUAUGUAAAGCUCUAUCAGCAGGGAAGAAAUAAAGUCCUUCGGACUUUGGACGGUACCUGACUAAGAAGCCCCGGCUAACUAC